rnacentral:rRNA from 1 species
AUGGGUUCCUCAGAGAAGAUGGCACAACUGAAUACGGAGAUCCGUCUGUUGAAGACGCUGAGGCACAAGAACAUUGAGAAGUUGUUUGCCUCAUGUAUUGAUGAGGAUAAGAAGACAAUUAACAUCAUCACGGAGCUCUGCACAUCCGGCAGUUUGAGGCAUACAGACAAGAAUAGCUUCAAUGAUAGCAUCUCGAAUCAUCAAGUUGUGCGACUUCCCUCUUGA